GAGAGGUGCUGCAUGGCUGUCGUCAGCUCGUGUUGUGAAAUGUUGGGCUAAGUCUCGCAGCGAGCGCAACCCCUAUCGUCUGUUGCCAGCAUUAAGUUGGGCACUCUAACGAGACUGCCUGGGUUAACCAGGAGGAAGGUGGGGAUGACGUCAAGUCCUCAUGGCCCUUAUGUCUAGGGCUACACACGUAAUACAAUGGCGCGUACAAAGGGAAGCGGACUCGCAAGGGGGAGCAAAUCUCAAAAAGCGCGUCUCAGUCCGGAUUGGAGUCUGCAACUCGACUCCAUGAAGUUGGAAUCGCUAGUA
rnacentral:rRNA from 1 species